UACGUAGGUGGCAAGCGUUGUUCGGAAUUAUUGGGCGUAAGGGCGCGUAGGCGGUUUGUUAAGUCAGCUGUGAAAGCCCGGGGCUCAACCCCGGAGAGUCGACUGAUACUGGCAACUAGAGUACGGAAGAGGUAGCUGGAAUUCCCGGUGUAGCGGUGAAAUGCGUAGAGUAUCGGGAGGAACACCUGAGGCGAAGGCGGGCUACUGGGCCGAUACUGACGCUGAUGCGCGAAAGCCAGGGGAGCAAACGGG
rnacentral:rRNA from 1 species